CUUUACUGUAACCUGGAAUUGGGUUCGGGCUUUGCUUGCGCAGGAUAGGUGGGAGACUAUGAAGCUGCCCUUGUGGGGGCAGUGGAGUCAUCAGUGAGAUACCACUCUGUCAAGGCUAGAAUUCUAACCGUCUGCCGUUAUCCGGCGACGGAACAGUAUCAGGUGGGCAGUUUGACUGGGGCGGUCGCCUCCUAAGUGGUAACGGAGGCGCGCAAAGGUUCCCUCAGGCUGGUUGGAAAUCAGCCGAAGAGUGUAAAGGCAGAAGGGAGCUUGACUGCAAGAGCAACAACUCAAGCAGGGACGAAAGUCGGCCUUAGUGAUCCGACGGCGCUGAGUGGAAGGGCCGUCGCUCAACGGAUAAAAGUUA
rnacentral:rRNA from 1 species